AUUUAGGAUUUUUUGAAAUCCAUUAAUGUUGAUUAACCAGAGAUAU
rfam:Octopus bimaculoides Scaffold10652_contig_27, whole genome shotgun sequence.